UACGGAGGGGGCUAGCGUUGUUCGGAAUUACUGGGCGUAAAGCGCGCGUAGGCGGACCUGCAAGUCGGGGGUGAAAGCCCGAGGCUCAACCUCGGAACUGCCUUCGAUACUGCGGGUCUCGAGUCCGGGAGAGGUGAGUGGAAUUCCUAGUGUAGAGGUGAAAUUCGUAGAUAUUAGGAAGAACACCAGUGGCGAAGGCGGCAUCCUGGACCGAAACUGACGCUGAGGCGCGAAACUCGUGGGGAGCGAACAGG
rnacentral:rRNA from 1 species